rnacentral:rRNA from 1 species
UACAGAGGGGGCAAGCGUUGUUCGGAAUUACUGGGCGUAAAGGGCGCGUAGGCGGCCUGUUAAGUCGGACGUGAAAUCCCUCGGCUCAACCGGGGAACUGCGUCCGAUACUGGCGGGCUUGAAUUCGGGAGAGGGAUGUGGAAUUCCAGGUGUAGCGGUGAAAUGCGUAGAUAUCUGGAGGAACACCGGUGGCGAAGGCGGCGUCCUGGACCAAUACUGACACUGAGUGAGCGAAAGCCAGGGGAGCAAACGGG